GGCUCGGACAAGCGCUCUGGGUGAACCUAGAGCAUGCACAACACCUGUUCGACGAAUUGCCAGGCAUCACCACAGGGCUCCACUUCUGCUCUAACUUAACAGGGUUAGACUAUGGACUAAGGGAAAGCUACUGGAUAUGUUGGCCUGAGUGGAGGGGCAACUCCACAAUGCAAACAUAGACUCAUGCCAAAUCUGGUCAUGCUCCAAGGUGUUUGAUGAAAUGCCAUGGCUCCAAAUGGUCUUUGAUACCCACCAAACUUUCCAGACCAAGGUCUCUCUAGGUGCUAGGAAUGUAGGUAGGGUUGGUUUGGCAAAAAUCCAAAAUAGCUAAUGCAAACUUUUGAAAAAUGCAAUUCUAGGCUGAAACUAGGAGUUGUUCACUUGCAUCUUCUUUCAUCAAAUGGAGCUAAAUUCCUAGAGUUAAGGUUUUGGUAGGGUGCCAUACAAGAAUGCAAAAUUUC
rnacentral:lncRNA from 1 species